UGUUGCAUAAGUGUCUCAAUCUUCAACUUGUCGGUUUUUCAAACCAUUCAUCACAACUGUCUGACACUGCAGCAUCAUGGGAUCUUGUUACAAAGAAUUCUUCAACACUUGUCCAACCUUUGGACGAAGACCUACUUCGACUAGUGGAUGGUACCACUAUGACCUCGCCUCCUCCUGCUUCGCCUCACCUCACUACAGUAUAUAAGCCACGUCUACGGCCCUAUGCUGUACAUUCUACAAGAUUGAUGGACUGAACACAUCGACUCCAGGCUGAGGGACUCAUUACCUCAAACUCCUCCUCUCCUUACGCCUUUCUCCUUUGUAUUGGACUGAUGAAGCCACUGUGUGGGGAAACGUUUCCUGAAUAAAGAUUCCCAUAUGUUGCAUAAGUGUCUCAAUCUUCAACUUGUCAGUUUUUCAAACCAUUCAUCACAACUGCCUGUAAUACAGGCACGAUGACUGACAACAGGAAGGCAUUGUAUGCAGUCACAAAAGCUAGCUCACCCACCUGUCAGGGACAGAUAGAGUGGGUGUCUACAUCCGGAACUGCUGAACAGGAAGACGAAAAUUCUUAUUUAUAUAGAAAGAACAAAAAGGCACAUAGGAGAGAGAGGAGCUUAUGACGACGUUUCGGUCAACUUUGUAAAUAGUCAAAGUCGGACGGAAACGUCAUCGUAAGCUUCUCUCUCCAAUGUGCAGGUUAUUUGUGUAUUAUUAUAUCCCCGGGGUCGUCCUGGUGGGAGUGCAACAGACAAGUGACCUAGCAGUAGCAACACCUCCUAACAUCGCCUGCUGCUAAGCAGCUGCCACACCCUUCGAGCCCAGGGUGGGCGGGGUUUGUGGCAGCUCAAGGUGCCUAGCUUCUCCCUUCGAGCCCCGUGGGGGCGGGGAAUGGGGCUAGGCCUGGGAACAGCUGGUCCCAGAAGACAAGGUACUUGAACCACCUCCCUUGGCAGAUAUUGGUCUGAGACACUCCCACGACAGGAAGUCAAGGCCGGGCCACCUCUUGGACAAAGCCCAGGCCGGGCGAUUAUACCGGCGAAUCUACUAUAGUAUAGGUCAUCCUGGUAUUUGUAAUACCCCUGCCACCCCAUGCAUAUAAUAACGAUGAGAAUAAAUUCAGUAUUUGAUAAAAUAAGUUACAUCACACCAUAACACUAGAUAAAACCAUUUACCGAAAAGAGAAUAGGUUAUUUAUAUUUUUAUUAUUAUUAUUAUAUUUAUGGGGACAGUUAAACCCACAGAGGUCAUACAGCGCUUGGGAAAAUGGAAGACAAUCGGGCUCCAUUCAAGGAACUAGAGCACAGGUCCAAUUUCUAAAAUCAAGAGCCCCUUACUAACAAAGGCACUUCCCGUGGGGGUAAACGUUGUUGAGGUCUGGAGUUAGCGUAGGUUAAAAGCUCAACUACGGCAAGUGGGUCAUCAAGGCUGUAAUUCACCUGAAUUCUUACUCAAGAAUACUAUAAUAGCAUAGAAAUUACAUAAACCGUGUGUACACACUUAAGACUUAUAUACCUCUGUAUAUAUACACUAAUACAGCUACAUAAAUGCAUAAUUUUGAAAUUUGGGCAAACUACACAUGCAGUACCGAUGCUUUGUGUGUGUGAGCGCGCGCGCGCACACAGUAUUUCUUGGCAGGUGUCCGCGAGUGCAAGGUUUAUGUGCUUUGAUUCGUAUUUCUGUCACACACAGGACAUACACACUUAGAGGUGUAUUUCUUUCAGCGUAAAUAUGAUGAGUCGACUUUAAUCCCAGUUUUCAGGGUUUAAAUAUUCUUGUCCAUGCAGUUCUAAUGACCCUAGUGUAGUCGACUGACAUAAAGACCUCGAUGUAUAUAAGCUGAUUGUGCAUUAAGAGGUGAAUGUAUCUGUUAUACACAGUUUACCUUUAUCUGUAGUUUAUGGAUUAAAGUAUUCUAGAUUUCUGUGUACAAGUGAAGUGCAACCUUAACUCACUCAGUAUACAGACUUAAACCUAACGAACUAACCGGUGAGGAGGUCUGCUAGAAAUCUGCCAUCUAAUGUACGACUUGACUGAGUUCCAGGAGGAGAGAGCCUCCACCAUGGAGUUGGGGCUAGAGCAGCCGCAGCCCUCUUCUGUAAACCUGCUUCAUAGGAUGCGACUCUCCUCAUUCAGCUAAGCGACUAACUGGCAGAAACAUACUUGCUGCAAGGUGAAUAAUGUAGGAGGUGUAAGAUUUGCCUAUACGUCUCCACCUUCCCAGGGAUCGAGUCCAGAUCCUUUCCGUUGACCGGAACACUAUGUACUACCGAACUAUCUUCACUCCUCUCUCACCCAGGCAGUAUCUUGAGGCAAUGGUUGGCUGCUCGACACUUCUGUACUGUAUUAAAAUUCAAAAAUUAUGCAAAUAUUUUGUAUUACAUAGAUGCAUAUGUUGAGAUUUUUUUAACCGAGUUUUACAAAGCUGAUAUUCUACAUAGCGUUUUCGGAAGAUCUAAAGUUGAUGGAACUUAGUGGGUUGCGGGUUGAGUCUUGAAAUCCGAGUUUCCCUCUUCCUCGGAUUAAACCUUCCCUCCUAUUUCCCAGGCGUUGUACGGCCUUGACGGUUCAUUGCUUCCUCAUGAAAGAAUAAAGCUUAUGCAAGAGUUAAAAAUCUAUUUAUAUUUUAAUAAUUAGACUAAUGUACAAUGUAAUGGUUACUUUAUAAAAGCAUGAGAUAUACUAAAAUUAAUAUAAGAAAAUAUGCAGUAUUAAUACUGGAACAAAAUUUAUAAUUUAUUGGCAAGAAUAUUGUACACAUGCACAAAUAUCUAGGAUUAAAUAUCAAGGUUCAGUGUAACGUGUGGGCGAGUUUCGUACUCUACUGCCCCUCCUCGGUUAUAUAACAAAAAGGCACAAUACCGUGACUGAAACAGUACACAAAUAAUUCGCACAUAGCGAGGAGCUUACGAUGGCGUUUCGGUCCGACUUGGACCAUUUACAAAGCCACAUUAGUAGAAAGGAGAAAAUGAGGGAGUAUAUAUAGGCCAGCACACAGAGACGGGAUAAGAGGUAGUAGGAAAGGAAGAAAAGUAGUGGUAGAGGUAGUGGAAGUAGUGGAGUCAAAGACUAAGAGGAGCACUGCAAGGGAGCUAGAUGCCCACGAAUGGAAGGAACAAGAACACAGAGGGAGAAAAAUAAUAGUUAUAUAUAGGCGAGUUAUACUGUUGUGGGUCAUAACUUUCGGAAAAAAAGUUGCUGUUCAAAUGUUCCAGCUAAAUGUCAUAUCCUGUGGAGAAAUACUUCUGUGUAGGAAAAUUCCAGACCUGCUGGAAGUGUUGUGGUUGGGGGAGGCAUUCCCGCAAUUCUUUGUAUAUAAGCGUGAUGGAAAAAAUGCAUUAUGCACGCUAUAUAAAGUACAUGAUAGGGGUAAUUUUACAAUUCUUUGUAAUUAGUCCAGGCUACAAUGUUUCCCUGUACUGAAUACACAGGACUGACAGACACGAUGUUUCCUCUCCAGAAUGUUUUCUUUGUGAAGGUCAGGUUGGGCAAGGUUUCCUGACGCUGAUCUUAAGUCAU